UAGAAGAGAAAUUAAAUUGACAGAAGAUUCUCAUGAGGCUCUUUGGAGGAUACUGGUGAAGAUCACAGACUCUGGAACCAGAGUGCCUGGAUUUAAUGUCUGUUUCUAUUGCUUAAUGACUGUGUGACCUUGGAUAAAUCACUCGACCUCUCUGUGCUUCACUUCCUGUAUCUCUAAAAUGGAUAUUGUCAUCUGCUUUACUGGGUUGUUGUAAAUAGUAAAUGAAUCAAUAAACAGAUGUAAGGUACUUAGACCACUGCUUGGCACAUGGAUUUAGAAUGCUGACCUGCUUAUUUUCAUAUGGAAGACAAUAAGCUGAUUCCCUGUAGAUUGAGCUAACGGCCAUCUGUUAUGAUGGGACAAUGCUGAUUCAAGAAGUGUCAUUUGCCACUUUAUCUGAUGUCAGGAGGCAACACAUGAAAUCUGAGGACCUUUAAUAACUCACAACACCUUGUGUGUAAGAUCCCCGGGGAAAGGCAACCCCAAAUUAGAAACAUGUUUCACUGGAAGGGCACUCACUUACUGAUACCUCAGGGACUCCACUUUGAGGGAUGCCUUUAUCAUUCAUACCUUUCCAUGGCAUGAAUGGAAAACUGCUGCAAUGCUGCUUCUGUCCUAAUGCAUUUCAUGAGUCAGCAUAUGACAAAGGGAAGGGACACCCAGGUCAGCCCCAUCAUUGUAUCUGAAACCAACACUUCGAAUAUAAUUGGAAUGAUUACAUACGAUUCUAGAUGUUGAGUGAUUAGCACAGCAAGUGGUGCCCAGUUGGUUGCUAUUAUUACUGUUGUUGUUGACAUUAUGAUUAUGCUUAUUUUGUGUUAUUUAUUAAAUGAAUAUACUUAAAAA
rnacentral:lncRNA from 1 species